AUUGAACGCUGGCGGCAGGCCUAACACAUGCAAGUCGAGCGAGCGGCGGACGGGUGAGUAAUGUCUGGGAAACUGCCUGAUGGGGGGGGAUAACUACUGGGGACGGUAGCUAAUACCACAUACCAUCAGAUAUGCCCCGAGGCGAGUAGCUAGUAGGGGGGGUAAUGGCUCACCUAGGCGACGAUCCCUAGCUGGUCUGAGAGGAUGACCAGCCACACUGGAACUGAGACACGGUCCAGACGCCUACGGGAGGUAGCAGUGGGGAAUAUUGCACAAUGGGCGCAAGCCUGAUGCAGCCAUGCCGCGUGUGUGAAGAAGGCCUUCGGGUUGUAAAGCACUUUCAGCGGGGAGGCGUUACCCGCAGAAGAAGCACCGGCUAACUCCGUGCCAGCAGCCGCGGUAAUUC
rnacentral:rRNA from 1 species